GCAGAGGUAAACUAUAUAGGUUAACGGGCUCAUGCCCCGGAUGAGGGUGUAUCACCCCCUUUGUU
rnacentral:tRNA from 1 species